rnacentral:rRNA from 1 species
GGAUCCAGACUUUGAUUAUGGCUCAGGAUGAACGCUAGCUACAGGCUUAACACAUGCAAGUCGAGGGGAAACGAUAUUGGAAGCUUGCUUCCGAUAGGCGUCGACCGGCGCACGGGUGAGUAACGCGUAUCCAACCUGCCCAUCACUUGGGGAUAACCUUGCGAAAGUAAGACUAAUACCCAAUGACGUCUCUAGAAGACAUCUGAAAGAGAUUAAAGAUUUAUCGGUGAUGGAUGGGGAUGCGUCUGAUUAGCUUGUUGGCGGGGUAACGGCCCACCAAGGCAACGAUCAGUAGGGGUUCUGAGAGGAAGGUCCCCCACAUUGGAACUGAGACACGGUCCAAACUCCUACGGGAGGCAGCAGUGAGGAAUAUUGGUCAAUGGACGAGAGUCUGAACCAGCCAAGUAGCGUGCAGGAUGACGGCCCUAUGGGUUGUAAACUGCUUUUAUAAGGGAAUAAAGUGGGUCUCGUGAGACUUUUUGCAUGUACCUUAUGAAUAAGGACCGGCUAAUUCCGUGCCAGCAGCCGCGGUAAUACGGAAGGUCCGGGCGUUAUCCGGAUUUAUUGGGUUUAAAGGGAGCGUAGGCCGGAGAUUAAGCGUGUUGUGAAAUGUAGACGCUCAACGUCUGCACUGCAGCGCGAACUGGUUUCCUUGAGUACGCACAAAGUGGGCGGAAUUCGUGGUGUAGCGGUGAAAUGCUUAGAUAUCACGAAGAACUCCGAUUGCGAAGGCAGCUCACUGGAGCGCAACUGACGCUGAAGCUCGAAAGUGCGGGUAUCGAACAGGAUUAGAUACCCUGGUAGUCCGCACGGUAGACGAUGGAUGCCCGCUGUUGGUCUGAAUAGGUCAGCGGCCAAGCGAAAGCAUUAAGCAUCCCACCUGGGGAGUACGCCGGCAACGGUGCAACUCAAAGGAAUUGACGG